rnacentral:pre_miRNA from 1 species
UGGAUAANCCCUCCGUCCGAAAAUACUUGUCAUCAAAAUGGAUAAAAAGAGAUGUAUCUAAAACUAAAAUACGUCUAGAUACAUUUCCUUUUAUCCAUUUUGAUGACAAGUAUUUCCGGACGGAGGGAGUAUUUG